GCCAGACUCCUACGGGAGGCAGCAGUGGGGGAUAUUGCACAAUGGGGGGAACCCUGAUGCAGCGACGCCGCGUGGGUGAAGGAGUAUUUCGGUAUGUAAAGCCCUAUCGGCAGGGAAGAAGCAAGACGGUACCUGACUAAGAAGCCCCGGCUAACUACGUGCCAGCAGCCGCGGUAAUACGUAGGGGGCAAGCGUUAUCCGGAUUUACUGGGUGUAAAGGGAGCGUAGACGGCAGGGCAAGUCUGGAGUGAAGGGCAGGGGCCCAACCCCUGGACUGCUCUGGAAACUGUCCGGCUGGAGUGCAGGAGAGGUAAGUGGAAUUCCUAGUGUAGCGGUGAAAUGCGUAGAUAUUAGGAGGAACACCAGUGGCGAAGGCGGCUUACUGGACUGUAACUGACGUUGAGGCUCGAAAGCGUGGGGAGCAAACAGGAUUAGAUACCCCAGUA
rnacentral:rRNA from 1 species